rnacentral:lncRNA from 1 species
AGCCAGAACAGCAACUUGGGAUCUGAGCCGUGUCCGCGACCUACGCCACAACUUACGGCAGUGCCAGAUCCUUAACCCACUGAGGAGGCCAGGGAUCGAACCUGCCACCUCAUGGUUCCCAGUCGGAUUUGUUUCCACUGCACCAUAAUGGGAACUCCUAGGCAGUGCUCUUGAAGGCUCUUAAAGAAUUCCACCAAGCCAGAGAGGGAUGUGGAACAAGAAAAUUAAAAUGCCAAUAACAUUGUUACCAUGUUUCAAUCAGCUUUUUCUUGAUUAUGUGUUUGGUUGCAGUUGUUGACUGAAAAACUCCACAACCUAAAAGUUGAGAAUUAUGUUUUAUUCAUUGGCCUUUGUGAGGACUUAAGCCCGGGGGCACCCUCUCAGAUAGCUCAGAGGAAUUGCUCCAAAGAGGUAAGGGAGAAGCCAGGAUACAUAGGAGUUUAAGCAGCAAAAAACGAGCAGUCAGAACAUCAACAUAUUACUGUUAAUUAAAGAAAAAGCCGACAUCUCACGUUAAUGAAUUUAGCACUUUUCUUUGUAGUCUGCAGCACUUUUCUAAGAGUCUGGACUCACUGAAAUCUUUCCUUUGAUAUACACGUUAACGCUCUAGAGUUAGCAUCCUAUUUUUCUCCGUCCUGAAUCCCUUCAGGGUGUGCAGUUGGGAGUGGCUGAUGGCUUGGUGGCCAUAACCUUCUGUGUUUAGAGUAGAUGACCUUUUUUGCCUUUGCUUAGUCAUAAAUUCAACCAAUGUUUGGGAGGCAUUUCAUGGCCAUUUUUGUCCCAUGGUGCUAGGAAGGCUCAUUCCCAGAUCAGGCAAAGAUUCUGUUGAUAGUCCAUUCAAGAUAUUAAUUUUUGGAUUAGGCCCUGUUGAUAAUCUGAAAUUUUCUGGAUCCCUUCCCACCGGAGUGAGCCUGCAUGCCUCAUCACCACCCAGCCCCCUCUGGUCUAUCAGGCUCAUUCACCCUGAUCUCUGGCCAACCCACUCUCACCAGAGUGAGCCCAAGCCCAUGUACCUGAUCACCACCGGCCCACCUCCCAUCUGGGUGGACUUGUGCACCCCAAUUCCACUGUGCCCUCCUCUCACAGCAGCCUGCCCUGAGCCCCAAACACUGCCCAGCCACCUUCUGCCUGGAUUGGCUCCUGUGCUUCUCCUGCCUUGGGAGCAGUCUGUGGUUGGGCUUCCCACAUGCAGAGAUAGAGCUGAAAUCACAGCUAAGCCCCAGAGUCCCUUGACUAAGAACAAAGAGCUGAAAUCUCUCCUCCUGGCUAUGAGAACCUCAGAUUUACACCACCACUGCCAGCCUUGUAAAUCCAGUGCCUGUGGAAUAUAUCAUUAGAAAACAACUGUGACUGUGUCAGGUGCUGGAUGUUAACUAGACUUGUUUUCUUGAACUUUUCACAAUAUAUACAAAUGUCAGAUCAUAUUGUACACCCAAUACUAAUAUAAUAUUAUCUCAAUGACAUCUCAAUAAAAAGAAUGUAUUUUUCA